rnacentral:rRNA from 1 species
UACGUAGGGUCCGAGCGUUGUCCGGAAUUACUGGGCGUAAAGCGUGCGCAGGCGGUUUUGUAAGUCUGUCGUGAAAUCCCCGGGCUUAACCUGGGAAUUGCGAUGGAGACUGCAAGGCUAGAAUCUGGCAGAGGGGGGUAGAAUUCCACGUGUAGCAGUGAAAUGCGUAGAGAUGUGGAGGAACACCGAUGGCGAAGGCAGCCCCCUGGGUCAAGAUUGACGCUCAUGCACGAAAGCGUGGGGAGCAAACAGG